UACGGGGGGGGCAAGCGUUGUUCGGAAUUACUGGGCGUAAAGGGCUCGUAGGUGGCCAACUAAGUCAGACGUGAAAUCCCUCAGCUUAACUGGGGAACUGCGUCUGAUACUGGAUGGCUUGAGUUUGGGAGAGGGAUGCGGAAUUCCAGGUGUAGCGGUGAAAUGCGCAGAUAUCAGGAAGAACACCCGUGGCUAAGGCGGCUCUCUAGUACGGUACUGACGCUGAGACGCGAAAGCGUGGGGAGCGAACAGG
rnacentral:rRNA from 1 species